rnacentral:rRNA from 1 species
UACGGGGGGGGCAAGCGUUGUUCGGAAUUACUGGGCGUAAAGGGCUCGUAGGCGGCCAACUAAGUCGGAUGUGAAAUCCCCAGGCUUAACCUGGGAACUGCAUCCGAUACUGGAUGGCUUGAAUCCGGGAGAGGGAUGCAGAAUUCCAGGUGUAGCGGUGAAAUGCGUAGAGAUCGGGAGGAACACCAGAGGCGAAGGCGGCGACCUGGACAGUUACUGACACUCAACUCCGAAAGCGUGGGUAGCAAACAGG